AGCUUGCCAAAUUAAUACAAAAGAGUAAGCAUCUAGUAGUGUUUACAGGUGCAGGAAUAUCUACUUCUUGCGGUAUACCUGAUUUUCGAGGUCCCAAGGGAAUAUGGACGCUACAGCGUGAAGGCAAACCCUUGCCUGAAGCAUCCCUACCAUUUCAUCGCG